rnacentral:rRNA from 1 species
CCCCGGCCGGCGACCGGCGCGACGGGUGAGUAACACGUAUGCAACCUGGCCGCCACAGGGGGAUAACCCGCGGAAACGCGGCCUAAUACCCCGUGACGCCACCGGAGGGCAUCCUCCGGUGGCCAAAGGAGCGAUCCGGUGGCGGAUGGGCAUGCGGCGCAUUAGCUAGACGGCGGGGUGACGGCCCACCGUGGCGACGAUGCGUAGGGGUUCUGAGAGGAAGGCCCCCCACACUGGGACUGAGACACGGCCCAGACUCCUACGGAAGGCAGCAG